CCUUUCCUGACCACCUAUGUAACAUGGUUCCAGAUUGAAAAAUUGUAUCACGUGUCAUACCUUCACCAUACAUACUCUAUGAAAACCUGUAGAAGUUGGUUUGUGUGGAGCAAUUACUUUGCCAGAAUGCCUUUAUAUCCAUCCAGAUGCUGCCCAAAUGCCAAAAUGGCUAACAUAACACACUGGUGAAACUGUCACGGUUUCGGGCAGCGAUAGCCACGAUUUGGCACAUUGGCCAAAGGACAUCAUGAACUUAUUUGUGUCCACAUGGUGCCGUUGUUGUGAUUUGUGUGCCCUCACCUGUAACUCAUUGUAUGAUUGCCACCGACUCCGAUUAGCCGGGUUAUAAAUACCUGGCUAGUUUCUCUGGCCCUCAUCGGGUCGUUAGUGUUUCCUCGCUAUGUCUAGCGCAAGUUUGAGGUGUAUAUCUCCUGUGGCUCUCAAGUCGCUUUUGUGUCGCGUUGCUAGUAAAGCUUCGCCUCUCGCUGCUAGGACUUAGUCCCUACUGAUAGCUACCCUUUUAGUAGCUCCUUUAGUUUAUGGCAUUUUGCCCUGUUUGUGAUCUUCUGUGCUUUUGGAUUAUCUCCUGAGUUUUUUGGAAUAACUUCUGUGUGUUCGCUGUUGGGAAGUAUCCUUCUUUCAACAAUAAAGAAACUAAAUAACGCUACUCUGCAACUGGGUCCUCAUUAGCACACUGGGCUAAGCGCUGGUUCCCGAAUCCAGCGACUUGGGUUCAAUCCCUGAGAGAAGCCUGACAGAAACAAGGCCAUAUUUGACCAGGAGCAACAAAAGGAGAAGGCCUGUCCUGGUCCUCUCCAUCUCACUGUCUGUAUUUCCCAAGAUGCCUUAGGAUCAUGCCUGUAAUUGGGUUGAUGUUUCUUUCAGGUAGAAGGGAGGUUUUCCUAAACACAACUGCGUAUGUGCUAGCUCUUAGAGACUUAGGCCUUUGGCUUUGAAAGGUACCACCAGACAGUGUUCACUGUUAAUGUCAAUAUAUUCUGUGAAAUAAUAUAUUCUAUAAAAUUUCCAAUAAACACUGAGGCAUUGAUUUGCUUGAGUAAUUUAACAGCUAGCUUUUAUUGAAGACACGGCUAUGAAAUGAGACCGGAGCUCAUCUCAUGCUAAGCCCAGGUGCUUCAGCCAAUCAUAACUUAGUUAGAUUGCCAGCAAUGGAAUUUAACCUCCUGUGCAUCAGCUAGCAAGAUAGCACAUUUUGCCAUAUAAAGACAGAGAAAACCUACAUUAACUACAAAUACAAAACAAACACCAACACCAGUAAACUAACACGAUGUAGAGACAUUAUCUGACUUCAAACACAGAUAGUGAAAUGCUGAAGACGCUGCAUAUAGUAUGUCGUCACUGCAACUUACUAAUGGGGAGGAAACAGACAGUAUAGGAGGCCCUCUAGCUGCCUAAUGAUAAGAGGUCAGUAAAAAGCCAUCAUGAAGCUUUGCUGUCUCUGGACAUUGAAAUUGUAUAUAACAGGUUGAUACUGGGGUUAGAAUCGAAUUCCAGUACUUUCUUAAAUCCAGUUGAAUCUGCACAAUCAGUCUCAAAAGAUUUUAUGGAUACUCACCUUGCUUUUUUAACACCAGCUGAAGUAGAAUACAUGAACCUAUAAUUAACACUGCAAUUACUACUCCAAUUCUUACUCCAUUAGCUAGACCAAGUCCUGCAAAGUAAAGAAAAGACAUUUUUGGCAAACAAGAAGAAAAGGAUCUGCGCACACAAAUACACAUCCUCUCUUCACUUUUUCUGACCUGGAACUGGUGAAGGCGGUACAUGUUUGACUGUCCCGUUGCUGGAUGCCCAGCUCACUGGAUUACUGAAGUUACAGGUGUGGACCACAUCAUGGUCUAUCUUCUCCACAGUCAGUUCAGAUCCAGGCCACUCUUCAAUGCCAUUAGCCCAGGUGUAUGUUGUGAAUCCAUCUUCCCGUCCCUCGCAGGUCAGGGUGCAGAUGGUAUCAAUGCAGUCCAUGGUGAUUGUAGGCUUUGAAACUGGCCCUGCUCAAGGAAAGGGAUAUUACCAUACACACACGCAUCAGAGAUUCAAUUAUUACAGAAAUGUGAUUUUCAAGCAAGGUUGACUAAUUUGUGCAGUUUGGACACAAAUGAUGAAAGCAGGCACAGUACAGUGACUGCCACAGCCA
ensembl:lncRNA